GAUGAACGCUGGCGGCGUGCCUAAUACAUGCCAGUCGAGCGAACAGACGAGGAGCUUGCUCCUCUGACGUUAGCGGCGGACGGGUGGGUAACACGUGGAUAACCUACCUAUAAGACUGGGAUAACUUCGGGAAACCGGAGCUAAUACCGGAUAAUAUAUUGAACCGCAUGGUUCAAUAGUGAAAGACGGUUUUGCUGUCACUUAUAGAUGGAUCCGCGCCGCAUUAGCUAGUUGGUAAGGUAACGGCUUACCAAGGCAACGAUGCGUAGCCGACCUGAGAGGGUGAUCGGCCACACGGGAACUGAGACACGGUCCAGACUCCUACGGGAGGCAGCAGUAGGGAAUCUUCCGCAAUGGGCGAAAGCCUGACGGAGCAACGCCGCGUGAGUGAUGAAGGUCUUCGGAUCGUAAAACUCUGUUAUUAGGGAAGAACAAAUGUGUAAGUAACUAUGCACGUCUUGACGGUACCUAAUCAGAAAGCCACGGCUAACUACGUG
rnacentral:rRNA from 1 species